UGUCCCAGCACAGAAAGGCUGAUGCUGCCGCUGUCAGCUGGGCAAAACGGCUCAGCCUGGAGGGUUUAGAUGCGGGCAAGGCUGGUCCAAGCUGAACACUGGAAGGUGAACGGUAAUUGGCAUCUUCAGAGGGAUACUGGCUUUGUUUUACAGUGAGGCUGAUGGAGGCCAUGCCACCAGGAAGAGGCAGAAGUCUGGCAGAGAGCAGAUGCUUGGAAGAGCUAAAAGGUGCUGCAGUUCUACAGCACAUUUCAUGAAAGCACUUCUUUCUUCUUCCUUUCUUUUCACAUUUGAUCAGACACAGAUUUGGCCCAUGCCGCCUGCGUGCUUUUGUUCUGUAGAGCACCACUGGAAAGCUCAGUCCUGACCAUGACAAUAAGCAACAGUAAUAGCAAAGCACUGCUCAUGUUAAAGCACAGCAUCAGGGGUUGAAUUCAGGGGUGAUGUGAGGCCUUUCCAAAUCUCUCAUUGUGUACCCAGAUACUGGAAGAGACGUUUGUAAUAUAGAAGUUAUUGUAAGGGGAUUUUGGAGCAUAGAGAACCUUUACCAUGUGUCUCAUAUGUACAUAGUUAUUUUAAUUAAAUGUGGAUUAUUUUUUUAAGCUACAUCAGUAUCUGCUCUUAACACACAUGGCCUGUUGGAACUGACUGCCGCUAUUCAUUAUAUUGUUCUUCAGAACGUCAGGCUUACUAGCAAAAUUCCUUUCUUGCCUCCUUUUAAGUAUGUUUUCAGACUGAUGUGUUUUAUAUCUCACAUGGUUUUCCUGCCAUUCCUAUUACUUUUAAAUCUAACACUUGGCUGCAUGCCAUAGAACCUUUAAUCCAGCCCCAGGUGAGUUCUGGGGAGGAGAGGACACCUUGCAUCCCACAUGGUGCUGCAGUGGUGCUGGGACAGAGCAGUGGUGUGCCCUGUCUGAAGAAGGAGGCUAUGAGGUAACUGAUCUGCACUAGUGAAACAGACCCUGGCCGUAAAUACAGGAUGAAGAUGUUUCUGCUUGUGUGUGCGGGUUUGAUGUGUACUGCUGGCUGUGUCCUUGCUGCUUCACUUUGCAGAUGAACGUUGCUGUCGGUGCAUUCUCUCCUGGGACCUGGCAUGCUGCUCUGCAGAUCCGCACAUCUGCAGAUGGCUUGGGGAGGGAAAGGAAGGGAUUGUUUUAUACAGAGCUUCAGAAUGCAGUUUCUGGUUGCCAUCACUUUCAACACAUCUGACCGACUCAAUUUCCUGUCUUGAAUCAACUUUCAUUUCAUUAAGUCCCAAGUUUUCAUUUCUGUUGGUUGUCUGGGCGAGAUAUUUUCAUUCUGGAGCCUGAAAGAGCCCAAGUUUGGAAAGGAAUCAGUGUAGUCUCAGGAGAAGGCUACGUGCUCACAUGCUUAAUCUGCUCCAAAUGAUCAUGUCAAAAGUGGGGUUUGCAGUUUGGUCUUAUUUCUUUUCUGUUUCGUUAGUUUGUGCAGUUCCAGUUCCUUGAGCAAUACGAAGUGCUUGAAGAGCACCAUCCCACUGGUAUGGUUAACUCAUGGUUAAUCACAGUCUAACACUCAGCUGUAGUGGUUUGGGGUCACUGGAGCUUUAACAAGUCAAUGUUAUAUGUUUGACUUUAAUAUUUAGUGGCUUUUGUGUCCAGUGGUGGCCACUCUUCCUGAACUGAUGUCAUGACCAGAAACAUGUAACUCAAUGUGCAGAAUGUUUUAGCAUCCUCGCCCACUGCCAAGGUGCCUGUACAAAUUCCUGCAGAGACACUGAAGAUCAGGAUGUGUAUUGAAUGGAAGGAGCUGCAGAAGGGGAACAUGAAGGAGAGAACGCCAUGGAGGAGGAUGCACUUGUACCAGGGACAGAGAGGCUGCAUGAAUGGACCUGGCUCCGAACGCGUUCUGGAGUCGGCGUUUCUUAACAGGAUGUCCCUGUGCUGGAGGCUCAGCCGCACAGACCUGAGCUGGGUUUUCUGGAUGAACUCCACCGGUUCAGGAGUUUUCUGCUCUUUGUUUAAGCUAAUGAUAACUUUUGUUCCAUUUUUUGAGAGCUCGUGCUUGUCGCGCUGGUAGGGACUCGUGUGGCAAGUCUGAGGGCUUCGGUUUCCAUUGUAGAAUGAGUCGGAGUUCAGAGUCAGCUGCCAACAACAGCGAUGCGCAGAAUGCAGUUGGCAGAGGUUAAAUAUUUGGACUUGCAAAUGUU